GUGUCAGCCGCCGCGGUAAGACGUAGGGGGCGAGCGUUGUCCGGAUUCAUUGGGCGUAAAGCGCGCGCAGGCGGCCUGGUUAGUCGGAUGUGAAAAUCCGGGGCUCAACCCCGGACCUGCAUCCGAUACUGCCAGGCUAGAGGCAGGUAGGGGAGAUCGGAAUUCCUGGUGUAGCGGUGAAAUGCGCAGAUAUCAGGAGGAACACCGGUGGCGAAGGCGGAUCUCUGGGCCUGUCCUGACGCUCAGGCGCGAAAGCCAGGGGAGCAAACGGGAUUAGAUACCCGGGUAGUCC
rnacentral:rRNA from 1 species